rnacentral:rRNA from 1 species
CCCGCCUGGGGAUUACGCUUGCAAAAGUGAAACUCAAAGGAAUUGACGGGGACCCGCACAAGCGGUGGAGUAUGUGGUUUAAUUCGAUGCAACACGAAGAACCUUACCAGGGUUUGAAAUCAUUUCAAAACUCCUUGAAAGAGGAGCCUCCUUCGGGAUGAAAUGACAGGUGGUGCAUGGCUGUCGUCAGCUCGUGUUGUGAAAUGUCGAGUUAAGUCUCGUAACGAGCGCAACCCAUGUCUCUUGUUGCUCACUGAGUGCUUAAGAGAGACUGCCGACCAACAUCGGAGGAAGGUGUGGAUGAUGUCAAGUCAGCAUGCCCCUUACAUCCUGGGCUACACACGUACUACAAUGGUAAGGACAAUGAGCUGCGAUCCUGCGAAGGCUAGCCAAUCUCAAAAACCUUAUCUCAGUUCGGAUUGUACUCUGCAACUCGAGUACAUGAAGGUGGAAUCGCUAGUAAUCGCUGGUCAGCUAUACAGCGGUGAAUACGUUCCCGGGUCUUGUACACACUGCCCGUCACACCAUGGAAGCCGACUCUUCCCUAAGUCGUUACUCGAACCCAUUGGGACGAGGAUGCCGAAGGCAGGGUUGGUGACUGGGGUGAAGUCAUAACAAGGUAACCGUA